rnacentral:rRNA from 1 species
UACGUAGGGGGCUAGCGUUGUCCGGAUUUAUUGGGCGUAAAGCGCGCGUAGGCGGCCCGGUAAGUCCGCUGUGAAAGUCCAGGGCUCAACCCUGGAAAGCGGGUGGAUACUGCCGGGCUAGAAUCCGGAAGAGGCGAGUGGAAUUCCUGGUGUAGCGGUGGAAUGCGCAGAUAUCAAGAGGAACACCUGAGGUGAAGACGGGUUGCUGGGCUGACACUGACGCUGAGGCGCGAAAGCUAGGGUAGCAAACGGG